GGGGGGGAACGCGAGCGUAUUACAUGCAAGUUGAGCGCUGAAGGUUGGUACUUGUACCAACUGGAUGAGCAGCGAACGGGUGAGUAACGCGUGGGGAAUCUGCCUUUGAGCGGGGGACAACAUUUGGAAACGAAUGCUAAUACCGCAUAAAAACUUUAAACACAAGUUUUAAGUUUGAAAGAUGCAAUUGCAUCACUCAAAGAUGAUCCCGCGUUGUAUUAGCUAGUUGGUGAGGUAAAGGCUCACCAAGGCGAUGAUACAUAGCCGACCUGAGAGGGUGAUCGGCCACAUUGGGACUGAGACACGGCCCAAACUCCUACGGGAGGCAGCAGUAGGGAAUCUUCGGCAAUGGACGAAAGUCUGACCGAGCAACGCCGCGUGAGUGAAGAAGGUUUUCGGAUCGUAAAACUCUGUUGGUAGAGAAGAACGUUGGUGAGAGUGGAAAGCUCAUCAAGUGACGGUAACUACCCAGAAAGGGACGGCUAACUACGUGCCAGCAGCCGCGGUAAUACGUAGGUCCCGAGCGUUGUCCGGAUUUAUUGGGCGUAAAGCGAGCGCAGGUGGUUUAUUAAGUCUGGUGUAAAAGGCAGUGGCUCAACCAUUGUAUGCAUUGGAAACUGGUAGACUUGAGUGCAGGAGAGGAGAGUGGAAUUCCAUGUGUAGCGGUGAAAUGCGUAGAUAUAUGGAGGAACACCGGUGGCGAAAGCGGCUCUCUGGCCUGUAACUGACACUGAGGCUCGAAAGCGUGGGGAGCAAACAGGAUUAGAUACCCUGGUAGUCCACGCCGUAAACGAUGAGUGCUAGAUGUAGGGAGCUAUAAGUUCUCUGUAUCGCAGCUAACGCAAUAAGCACUCCGCCUGGGGAGUACGACCGCAAGGUUGAAACUCAAAGGAAUUGACGGGGGCCCGCACAAGCGGUGGAGCAUGUGGUUUAAAUUCGAAGCAACGCGAAGAUCCUUACCAGGUCUUGACAUACUCGUGCUAUUCCUAGAGAUAGGAAGUUCCUUCGGGAAACGGGAAACAGUGUGCAUGUUGUCGUCAGCUCGUGUCGUGAGAAUGUGGGUUAGUCCGCAACGAGGCCACCCCUAAUGUUAGUGCAUCAUUAAGUUGGCCACUCUUAACGAAAACUGCGUGAUAAACGAGGAGGUGGGGAUGACGUCAAAUCAUCUUGCCCUAUAGAACUGGCUCACAACAGGCUUAAAUGGAUGUCACACGAUGCCGUGC
rnacentral:rRNA from 1 species